CAAUAGCGUAUAUUAAAGUUGUUGCAGUUAAAAAGCUCGUAGUUGGAUUUCGGGGCAGCCUGGCUGGUCCGCCGCAAGGCGAGUACUGGUCAGCCGCCCUUCCUCUCGAAAGCCCCGACUGCUCUUCAUUGCAGUGGUCGGGUAGUUCGGGACGUUUACUUUGAAAAAAUUAGAGUGUUCAAGGCAGGCCUACGCCUGAAUACAUUAGCAUGGAAUAAUGGAAGAGGACCUCGGUCCUAUUUUGUUGGUUUCCAGGGCCGAAGUAAUGAUUAAGAGGGACAGUUGGGGGCAUUCCUAUUUAAUUGUCAGAGGUGAAAUUCUCGGAUUUAUGAAAGACGAACAACUGCGAAAGCAUUUGCCAAGGAUGUUUUCAUUAA
rnacentral:rRNA from 1 species